UGCAGCCGAGCGGUAUUGUUUCUUCGGAAAUGAGAGAGCGGCGUACGGGUGCGGAACACGUGUGCAACCUGCCUUUAUCUGGGGGAUAGCCUUUCGAAAGGAAGAUUAAUACCCCAUAAUAUAUUGAAUGGCAUCAUUCGAUAUUGAAAACUCCGGUGGAUAGAGAUGGGCACGCGCAAGAUUAGAUAGUUGGUGAGGUAACGGCUCACCAAGUCUACGAUCUUUAGGGGGCCUGAGAGGGUGAUCCCCCACACUGGUACUGAGACACGGACCAGACUCCUACGGGAGGCAGCAGUGAGGAAUAUUGGACAAUGGGUGAGAGCCUGAUCCAGCCAUCCCGCGUGAAGGACGACGGCCCUAUGGGUUGUAAACUUCUUUUGUAUAGGGAUAAACCUACUCUCGUGAGAGUAGCUGAAGGUACUAUACGAAUAAGCACCGGCUAACUCCGUGCCAGCAGCCGCGGUAAUACGGAGGGUGCAAGCGUUAUCCGGAUUUAUUGGGUUUAAAGGGUCCGUAGGCGGAUUUGUAAGUCAGUGGUGAAAUCUCACAGCUUAACUGUGAAACUGCCAUUGAUACUGCAAGUCUUGAGUGUUGUUGAAGUAGCUGGAAUAAGUAGUGUAGCGGUGAAAUGCAUAGAUAUUACUUAGAACACCAAUUGCGAAGGCAGGUUACUAAGCAACAACUGACGCUGAUGGACGAAAGCGUGGGGAGCGAACAGGAUUAGAUACCCUGGUAGUCCACGCCGUAAACGAUGCUAACUCGUUUUUGGGUUUUCGGAUUCAGAGACUAAGCGAAAGUGAUAAGUUAGCCACCUGGGGAGUACGUUCGCAAGAAUGAAACUCAAAGGAAUUGACGGGGGCCCGCACAAGCGGUGGAUUAUGUGGUUUAAUUCGAUGAUACGCGAGGAACCUUACCAAGGCUUAAAUGGGAAAUGACAGGUUUAGAAAUAGACUUUUCUUCGGACAUUUUUCAAGGUGCUGCAUGGUUGUCGUCAGCUCGUGCCGUGAGGUGUUAGGUUAAGUCCUGCAACGAGCGCAACCCCUGUCACUAGUUGCCAUCAUUAAGUUGGGGACUCUAGUGAGACUGCCUACGCAAGUAGAGAGGAAGGUGGGGAUGACGUCAAAUCAUCACGGCCCUUACGCCUUGGGCCACACACGUAAUACAAUGGCCGGUACAGAGGGCAGCUACACAGCGAUGUGAUGCAAAUCUCGAAAGCCGGUCUCAGUUCGGAUUGGAGUCUGCAACUCGACUCUAUGAAGCUGGAAUCGCUAGUAAUCGCGCAUCAGCCAUGGCGCGGUGAAUACGUUCCCGGGCCUUGUACACACCGCCCGUCAAGCCAUGGAAGUCUGGGGUACCUGAAGUCGGUGACCGUAACAGGAGCUGCCU
rnacentral:rRNA from 1 species